rnacentral:rRNA from 1 species
GGUCAAGCUACAAAGAGCUAACGGUGGAUCUU